rnacentral:rRNA from 11 species
GGUUUCACCAAAAUAACCCAAGAUCACCAGAUCCCAUCUGAUUUUGGAGGUUAAACAAGGAUCACCCUGGUUAGUAGGUGGAUGGGAGAUUGCCAAAGAAUACCUGGUAAUGUAUGCU